UCCCCGUUAUCCUGGGCAGUCCCUCCAGAGUUCCCGGCAUGACCCGUUGGCAACUGGAGGCAAGGGUUGCGCUCGUUGCGGGACUUAACCCAACACCUCACGGCACGAGCUGACGACAGCCAUGCAGCACCUGAACCACCGGCCCCUUGCGGGGAGGCCCUAUUUCUAGGGAUAUCCGAUGUUGUCUAGCCCAGGUAAGGUUCUUCGCGUUGCGUCGAAUUAAACCACAUGCUCCACCGCUUGUGCGGGCCCCCGUCAAUUCCUUUGAGUUUCAGCCUUGCGG
rnacentral:misc_RNA from 1 species